GCACAACGCGAAGAACCUUACCUACUCUUGACAUCCAGAGAACUUAGCAGAGAUGCUUUGGUGCCUUCGAGAACUCUGAGACAGGUGCUGCAUGGCUGUCGUCAGCUCGUGUUGUGAAAUGUUGGGUUAAGUCCCGCAACGAGCGCAACCCUUAUCCUUUGUUGCCAGCGGUCCGGCCGGGAACUCAAAGGAGACUGCCAGUGAUAAAUUGGAGGAAGGUGGGGAUGACGUCAAGUCAUCAUGGCCCUUACGAGUAGGGCUACACACGUGCUACAAUGGCGCAUACAAAGAGAAGCGACCUCGCGAGAGCAAGCGGACCUCAUAAAGUGCGUCGUAGUCCGGAUUGGAGUCUGCAACUCGACUCCAUGAAGUCGGAAUCGCUAGUAAUCGUGGAUCAGAAUGCCACGGUGAAUACGUUCCCGGGUCUUGUACACACCG
rnacentral:rRNA from 1 species